ACAGUUGGCAGAAGGCUAGUGAUAUUUACAGGUCUUGCUGCAGGGCCCCUAGCCGAGCCCCACCCCCAUCAGUAACCAGGAUUCUCCAUCUCCCACCUCUCUUCAUGUCCUGGUGGUUUGGCCGCAGGGGCUGACCUGCUGGAAGAGCAUCUUGGUGAAAUCCGGAACCUGCGCCAGCGCCUGGAGGAGUCCAUCUGCAUCAAUGACCGCCUACGGGAGCAACUGGAACACCGGCUGAGCUCUACUGCUCGUGGAAGGGGAUCCACUUCUAACUUCUACAGUCAGGGUCUGGAGUCCAUACCUCAGCUCUGCAGUGAGAACAGAGUCCUCAGGGAAGAAAAUCGAAGACUUCAGGCUCAACUGAGUCAUGUUUCCAGAGAGCACUCCCAGGAAACAGAAAGCCUGAGGGAGGCUCUGCUGUCCUCUCGAUCCCACCUUCAAGAGCUGGAAAAGGAGCUGGAGCACCAGAAGGUGGAAAGGCAGCAGCUUUUGGAAGACUUGAGGGAGAAGCAGCAAGAGGUCUUGCAUUUCAGGGAGGAACGUCUUUCCCUCCAGGAAAACGACUCCAGACUGCAGCACAAGCUGGUUCUCCUGCAGCAACAGUGUGAAGAGAAACAGCAGCUCUUUGAGUCCCUCCAGUCAGAGCUACAAAUCUACGAGGCACUUUAUGGCAAUUCCAAGAAGGGGCUGAAAGCUUACAGCCUGGAUGCCUGUCACCAAAUCCCUUUGAGCAGUGACCUGAGCCACCUGGUGGCAGAGGUACGAGCUCUGAGAGGGCAGCUGGAGCAGAGCAUUCAGGGGA
rnacentral:sRNA from 1 species